AUUGAACGCUGGCGGCCGGCCUAACACAUGCAAGUCGAACGAGUGGCGGACGGGUGAGUAAUGUCUGGGAAACUGCCUGAUGGAGGGGGAAAACUACUGGAAACGGUAGCUAAUACCGCAUACCAUCGGAUGUGCCCCGAUGGGAUUAGCUAGUAGUUGGGGUAAAGGCUCACCUAGACGACGAUCCCUAGCUGGUCUGAGAGGAUGACCAGCCACACUGGAAAUGAGACACGGGCCAUACGCCGACGUGAGGCAGUAGUGGGGAAUAUUGCACAAUGGGCGCAAGCCGGAUGCAGCCAUGCCGCGUGUAUGAAGAAGGCCUUCGGGUUGUAAAGUACUUUCAGCGGUGAGGCGUUACCCGCAGAAGAAGCACCGGCUAACUCCGUGCCAGCAGCCGCGGUAAUUC
rnacentral:rRNA from 1 species